rnacentral:lncRNA from 1 species
AGAUGUCUUUAUAAAAUCAGCUGUUGAAGGCUUUUUUGGUCAGCUUUCUUUAUUUAUAACCAUUGCUAUUCCAGCCAUAACUUCUUUGCCUUCUGUUGUGUGUUAAGGACAUAUCUGUCUAGCAUAUAUGUUAAAAUUAUUAUUGUAUUUAAAUGAAUAUUUCCACCUUUUGAACUUAUUUUGCUCCAUCUUACUAAUUUUAACUUAGUUCUUUGAAUGAGAUGAUUAUGCUUAUUUUUAAUGGAUCCCGUGUUUGUAUUUUCACACUCUCUUUUUGCAUUAUGCCUACUUAACAGUUCUGCAGUAUACAGCCAUUUAAGAAUUUUUCUUCUCUUUCAGUGAUUGUACUCUGCUAAUAUUUAUUUCACCGUUACGUGAUGCUCCUCUGGUAGUUUCGGAAGAAAAUGAUUAUUUUGUAAAACACUUGUUUUAAAAGGAGGAUUAAAUGAAUCAUUGUAAAAAUAAAAACUUAUAAUGCUGGGAAUCCUUACCAAGAUACUUAGAACCCAAGAAGGUUCCAUGUUCAACAGAACAACUUAUGGACUCUUCACUGGUGAGUGUUGGUGUUCUGAAAGAUUUUUCUGCUGCUUUUCGUGAACUUGGUGUCUGGACACCCUAGAGAAACCCUGAGUGCAGAAUUCCAAGUCCAGGCCAGAGGGUAUAUGGAAAGAUUCCAAAUUUGGCAACCAGGGGACUGAAAUGUGCAAGAUUGUAUGUGUAGGGGUUACUAUGUCCAAAUGCUCGAGGAUGCAAUUGAGAUGAGUGUAUUUUAGGACUGUUGGGUCUCUGUUUAUGCAGUAGGAACAGAGAACAAGGGAACCAGGGUCAGGGCUAGACUGGUAGCCUGAUAAGAUGAGUUUCUGUUCUGAGACUGAUGGCAGAAAUGGGAUUUUUGUAAUAGAAAUGAAAAGUGAUAUUACUUAAGUUUCAAGAGGCUGCCUCUGGGUGCAGAGUGCACAACAGCCUGGUGGAGAGGAAGACAAAGAAACAUAGAAGCUGUCUUAAUUUUCCAGAUGUACAUGGCUCUAGCUGCACCAAAGUGGUGUAUGUGGAG